UCUCUCUCUCUCUCUCUCUCUCUCUCUCUCUUUUACAUCGAUCCAAUUUGGUGACCACAUGCAUCUCCUUCCUCCAUAUCAACUGCAUGUAAGAGUGAUUUUUAAUUUGUAUAUGAUUUCAGUUUUUAGUUUGUUUGUGCUUACUCAAAAUCCUUCACCAUUCUCACUAACCCCCUUCUCUCUCAUCUUGUUCAUCAAACGUUCGCCAAAAUCCAGCAAUGCCACCGGAAUCUAAGGCUUCCUUCGUGCAUCUGCAUUCUCUAAUCUCAAGGUCGCAAAUGUUUAAUCCACAAAUCAACAGAUCUAGGUCAUUCUCCUCACACCAUCUCAUUCAUCUUCCUCAUCCAUUUGAAAUCGAAUCUACAAUCUAUUGUCAUUUGAAGCCACAAUAUCGAAUUUCCACUAUUCCUAGCCUCUCAAAACAUAUUUAUUUGAUUCAUUUUCAAUUUCAAUUUGAUUCAUCACCUAUUUUUUCAUCUUUAAAACACACUCAAUUGUUAAUGGUGCAUAUAUGAGAGUUGAAAAUGAUGCAAACUGGUGUUGUACUUGGCCCUAACGAUAGAUAUUCAUCUACAAAGUCGUCGACCCUUGGAGCUGUGGCUAACAUUAUUUGUGAUGUAAUGCUUUGUUAUACUUUGGCUAUGGUUUUGCUGGAGCAGCAUGGGCAACAACGGUCUCACAUGUAUAUUAUACAUACUCUAUGAAAAAUAUCACAACAUGCAUCCAUUUACUUGUUUUUAUAUGUUAAUUUCUGUUGUGUUGGACUUUACUUUACACAAAUUGUAGGUUGUUGCAAGGUUUAUGAUGAUUGAAGCUCUAAAAGACAAAGGGUAUAAUGGGUAUGACAUUGCUAUCCCUUCACUUACUGAACUUCUACAAAUAUUCAAAUUUGUUGCUCCUGUUUUCAUAGUGAUGAUGUCAAAGGUCGCAUUCUAUUCGUUACUUGUCUACUUUUCCACAUCAAUGGGAUUACAAAUUAUUGUUGCACAUCAGGUCCUUGUCUAAGUAUACUGCAUGUUUGUAGUAGGCGGUGAAACUCUUUUACAAACUGCACACUCAUUUAUGCCAGAACUUAUUUAUGCUGCUAAAUGAGUCUCUCAAAGGUACAAAUAUUGUUAAAUUCAUUAAUGAUUAUUGGUUCAUCAUUUGGAUUAGUAUUAGCUGCUACUGGAACAAUUGUUCAAUGGAAAGAAGCCAUUGGAUAGCAAGGAAGGAGCUCCAAGAUUUGAGAUAUGAGUUUUACACCCCUUGAGCAACCUCGAGAAGUGUCAGUCAACAAACACGGGCAAUACAAACGAAAGGUUGUGGGCCAGGGUAAUCCAACCGGAAGGUUGUGGGCCAGGGUUAAUCUAACCAGGAGGUUGUUGAACCAGUAUGUAUUGGGUAAUCCAACUGAAAGGUUAUGGGCCAGGGGAAUAAAACAAAAAGGUUGUGGGCCAGGGGUAAUCCAACCAGAAGGUACUUCAGAUGAUCGUGGGAAAGCAAAUGUGUGAUCUGCACAUCCUUCUGAUUUUUGUGAUUGGAUUUUGGGAUACUCUGAUUUGUGAUUAUUACUUUGAGAACAAUGUUUUGUAAACAAUUAUGGUUUUUGGUUAGAUUCUAAAAAUAAAAAUUUACCUUGA